GACGAACGCUGGCGGCGUGCUUAACACAUGCAAGUCGAACGGAAAGGCCCCUUUGGGGGUACUCGAGUGGCGAACGGGUGAGUAACACGUGAGUAACCUGCCCUUGACUUCGGGAUAACUUCAGGAAACUGGGGCUAAUACCGGAUAGGAAUCCUUGCUGCAUGGUGGGGGUUGGAAAGCUUCGGCGGUUUUGGAUGGACUCGCGGCUUAUCAGCUUGUUGGUGGGGUAGUGGCUUACCAAGGCUUUGACGGGUAGCCGGCCUGGGAGGGCGACCGGCCACAUUGGGACUGAGAUACGGCCCAGACGCCGACGGGAGGCAGCAGUGGGGAAUAUUGCACAAUGGGCGGAAGCCUGAUGCAGCAACGCCGCGUGCGGGAUGACGGCCUUCGGGUUGUAAACCGCUUUCAGCAGGGGCGAAGCUUGUGGUGACGGUACCUGCAGAAGAAGCACCGGCUAACUACGUG
rnacentral:rRNA from 1 species